rnacentral:lncRNA from 1 species
GAUUCGGCCACUUAGAGGACGUGAGGAGGAUUCCCUCGAGGAGGGUUCGGAUCGACGGCAGGAUUAGCCGUACACUUUCGCAGUGUAGCUGUUCGGCUUUAGGAGUUGAGGCUUAGCACCACCGCUGUCACCUAUCCCUCGUAGGUUACUUGCUAACCUACUAUGUGUAUCGUUAUUCUUUUGGUUCUAGACUGCUCUGAUAACCUUGAGAUUCUGUUUAAUUGGAUAAUUUGGUACUCUAAAUUGUGA